GCGCACGAACGCUGCCAUGGGCACACGCACGCCCUAAUCUUCUCCCUCUUUCCAAUUGCUACAUCAUGGCAACUCCUCCCUUAGCUACAUCAGGUCUGGGGGAUUUUUAUACCUGCGCAUACACGCACCCCAGCACACAUGCACGCACACAUCACCGGUCUAAACUCACGACCACUAACCCAUUCACACGCUAAGUCAUGCAAGCACUAACUAUACCACUAAGCUAGCUACAUGCACGGCUUCCAUAUCCAUGCGCGCAUCAGUUCCUCAACAGCCGGCCACACGACCUGGUAGCUAGCAUGCAUGCAUCUAACUAACUCCAUGUAUGACCCGGCCGGCCCCUCCACUCUCAUGUCAAAGAUUAUGCCUAACAAUUCUCCCUCUAGUCUUGACAUGGCUAGUCAUCGACCGUCGCCUUGACCAUCUUCGACCGACGAUGUAAUGUGUCGCCUGCUCGUCGCCAUUGAAGUUGCUGCAGCUCCUGUCAUUGUUGUCGUCACAGCCGUAACCCAGCCCACGGAUCCGACCCGGCGCAUCGAUGCCGGUCGCACCGCCACGGACCUGACCUGACGCACUGAUGUCGGUCGCACCGUGCUCCGUCGUGACCCCAGCGACAUACGCCGAGCUCCUUCUUCGUCGGUGACACACGCCUGGCGUCCCUCUGCACCCCGCACAUCUCGCGCGCACCCUACGCGCCCGACGAAUCCGACCGCACCAGUGCGUCCUGCACGUCCCGCGCACAUCCGACUUGCCCGAUGAGCCCGACCGCACUAGACGCUCACCGCGCACUGCCUUCGUGUCUGCCAUGGAAGCCGUCAGCGACAAACGCCGGAAGGAUGUAGGCAAACUCGAGCAUGGACUCGAGCACAACGACGACAUACGCCUCCUCCCAACGUCAACCGCAUGCUCGUACGCGCGCCCGUGGUCACGACGCGCCAGACGCGUCCAAUGCGCACCCAUAACACGCACCGGUCGCGCCCGGCUCGCCGCCACGGCUUAUUGCCCUGCACCGCUGCGGCCUCAACUACAGCGCAGCACCUCCAUGCCGCUGUGUGUCGUUGAAGCCCCCACCACGCAGGUCCUCCGCGGCCUCGUCACAGUGCCGCCGCAGCCACCGCGGCCUCCUUGCCGGACCGCGCACCUCCAUAGACCGACACACGGCCCGGAGCAUCGCGCAGCCGCCGGCGAACUCUGCCACCGCCGGCACGCCUCCGACAAAGAGAACAACGCCCAAGAUGAACCAGCUCAUGAUACCAAAUGUUGUUGUCGAGCCUGGCUGCUCUCUUUCUCCCAGCUCACUCACGGACAGAGGUAGGAGAAAGGAAACACAGUGGACACGAGGAUUUUUCUGGCCGGCGCACGAACGCCACCGUGGGCACACACACGCCCUAAUCUUCUCCCUCUUUCCAAUGGCUACAUCACGGCAACUCCUCCCUUAGCUACAUCAGGUCUGGGGGAUUUUUAUACCUGCGCGUACACGCACCCCAGCACACACACGCGCACACAUCACCGGCCUAAACUCACGGCCACUAACCCAUUCACACGCUAAGUCAUGCAAGCACUAACUAUACCACUAAGCUAGCUACAUGCACGGCGUCCAUAUCCAUGCGC
rnacentral:lncRNA from 1 species